rnacentral:lncRNA from 1 species
CCUGCUUACUCCCGGCAUAUCCUGAGCUUCCCAUGCAAAGAUAUCAACAUAACACCUCAGGAGCUCUACGAGGUUCGUCUGGAGAGGUUCCGGCAAGCCCGAACCUAUUUUCACCGUCUUGUCUUCCUUGCCUGGGAUGAGCUCUAUCUAUUCUGUCUCUCCAGCUGGCAUGACCGAUGGUUCAGAGCUACUUUCAGUGAAGGGUUCGAUCUCUAUUGCCAUGGCUUGUUUCUGCUUCGAUACCCCCACUCCCGAAGAAAUAACAGCAUUUCUGUAACACCUCCUGGCCAGAUCCAAAUCUCN